rnacentral:rRNA from 1 species
UGGAUUCGCUAGUAAUCGCGCAUCAGCCAUGGCGCGGUGAAUACGUUCCCGGGCCUUGUACACACGCCCGUCAAGCCAUGGGAGCCGGGGGUGCUUGAAGUGCGUCGCCGCAAGGCGCGCCCUAGAGCAAAACCGGUGACUGGGGCUAAGUCGUAACAAGGUACC